CUGUGACCCAUAGGAUCCCUCCCACCCCACCACUCCAUGGUCCUUUAUGUCCCCUCGAACCCAACCACGAUAUGACCCCAUUGCUUUAUGACCUAUAGGAUCCCUUCCAAUCCCCCCAUUCCGUGAUCUUUGAGGUCCCUCCCAACCCCACCACGCUGUGAUCCCAUUGCUCUGAGGUCAUUGAGGUCCCACCAACCCCCCCAUGCUGUGAUCCCAUUGCUCUAUAGCCUAUAGGAUCCCUUCCAACACCCCCUAUUCCAUGACUCCGUGAUCCUUUAUGUCUCCUCCAACCCCCCCAUGCUGUGAUCCCAUCGCUCCAUGGCCUAUAGGAUCCCUUCCAAUGCCCCCUAUUCCACAACUCCGCGAUCCUUUAUGUCUCCUCCAACCCCACCAUGCCGUGAUCCUAUAGCUUUAUGGUCAUAGAGGUCCCACCAACCCCCCCAUGCAGUGAUCCCAUUGCUCCACAACCUAUAGGAUCCCUUCCAACACCCCUUAUUCCAUGACUCCAUGAUCCUUUGUCUCCUCCAACCCCCCCAUGCUGUGAUCCCAUCACUCUGUGGUCACUGAGGUCCCAUCAACCCCACUAAGCUGUGAUCCCAUUGCUCCACGACCUAUAGGAUCCCUUCCAACGCCCCCACUUCCAUGAUCCUUUAUGUCUCCUCCAACCCCCCCAUGCCGUGAUCCUAUAGCUCUAUGGUCACUAAGGUCCCACCAACCCCCCCAUGCUGUGAUCCCAUUGCUCCACAGCCUAUAGGAUCCCUUCCAACGCCCCCUAUUCCACGACUCCAUGAUCCUUUACAUCUCCUCCAACCCCCCCCAUGCUGUGAUCCUACAGCUCUAUGGUCAUUGAGGUCCCAUCAACC
ensembl:lncRNA